GAUGAACGCUGGCGGAGGGAAGAAUACAUGCAAGUCGAGCGAACAGACGAGGAGCUUGCUCCUCUGACGUUAGCGGCGGACGGGUGAGUAACACGUGGAUAACCUACCUAUAAGACUGGGAUAACUUCGGGAAACCGGAGCUAAUACCGGAUAAUAUAUUGAACCGCAUGGUUCAAUAGUGAAAGACGGUUUUGCUGUCACUUAUAGAUGGAUCCGCGCCGCAUUAGCUAGUUGGUAAGGUAACGGCUUACCAAGGCGACGAUGCGUAGCCGACCUGAGAGGGUGAUCGGCCACACUGGAACUGAGACACGGUCCAGACUCCUACGGGAGGCAGCAGUAGGGAAUCUUCCGCAAUGGGCGAAAGCCUGACGGAGCAACGCCGCGUGAGUGAUGAAGGUCUUCGGAUCGUAAAACUCUGUUAUUAGGGAAGAACAAAUGUGUAAGUAACUAUGCACGUCUUGACGGUACCUAAUCAGAAAGCCACGGCUAACUACGUG
rnacentral:rRNA from 1 species